rnacentral:rRNA from 1 species
UACGUCAGUGGCAGACGGGUGAGUAACGCGUGGGAACGUACCUUUUGGUUCGGAACAACUGAGGGAAACUUCAGCUAAUACCGGAUAAGCCCUUACGGGGAAAGAUUUAUCGCCGAAAGAUCGGCCCGCGUCUGAUUAGCUAGUUGGUGAGGUAAUGGCUCACCAAGGCGACGAUCAGUAGCUGGUCUGAGAGGAUGAUCAGCCACAUUGGGACUGAGACACGGCCCAAACUCCUACGGGAGGCAGCAGUGGGGAAUAUUGGACAAUGGGGGCAACCCUGAUCCAGCCAUGCCGCGUGAGUGAUGAAGGCCCUAGGGUUGUAAAGCUCUUUUGUGCGGGAAGAUAAUGACGGUACCGCAAGAAUAAGCCCCGGCUAACUUCGUGCCAGCAGCCGCGGUAAUACGAAGGGGGCUAGCGUUGCUCGGAAUCACUGGGCGUAAAGGGUGCGUA